UUGAGAGCCAAGCUUCAGCACAAAGGAAAGAUCAGUUUUUCUGCACGGACAUCACAGACUUGGCAGCUGCAUCCACUAUUACUAUAUGACCAUCUUUCUAGAUCAGAAUUUCUACUAUCUAUCUACAGAAAAAAAGAUGCUAUAAUGGACAGAUUUUAUGGAAGAUAAGAUGGCUAAUUUGGAACACUGUCAUCUGAAUCAUAUCCAACCUUUAAAUAGCUUCCUGCUAAUGCUUUGGUUUUUGAUCAUCUCUAAUGGACGAACAAGAGACGGAUGAGACAGGGGAGAUACAAAGGAUGUUUGUGCAUCAUGGGGACACCACGAAAACUGCUAUAAUGCUUAACAGGAAAGGAAUGGGGCAGGCAGCAGCCUUCUCAUGGGCUGUACCACCAAAAAUGCGCAAGUUCCAGGGCAGAUAGAAAAGUCUACAUAGCCCUAUUUAAAGGAGAAGAAGUUCAUUAUCACAGCAGGGGCUGAGAUCUCUCUCGUCAUGUGAACAAGCAUAUAAAACCACUGGGACAUACUGGUAAGGUUAUUUGCAUGUCAAGACCACCAGGGACAAAACGUGGCUUCUGAUCCCUUCCUUCCAAGUAAUCCAGAAAGGCAGUAGGUGUGCAUCCAAUAUAUUAAAUGUUUAUUCUAUAUUUUUCUGACCCAGAUUUUAAAUCUAACUAAAAGCAAUUGUAAUAAAAAUAUUAAAUAUCCUAUAAAUAUUAUUUUAGCAUACCUGAAAUAUUUUAUAAUUGUAACAACAUAUACCUUACAACAUUUUAGUAGCAGGAAAUUGAUUCUAAAUACUUGAAUAUAGUUUAAGGCAUGUGACUGCAUUCUGUAAGGCUGCCCACUGCCCAUGGUGACGAAAUAGACAGGAAAAUACACAGCUAAUAACAAACAGCUACAAAAGAAACUAUAAUGUUUUUUUCCAAAAAGGGCCGCCCUUUACCUUUAAACCUUAAAAAUAACUACUUAUUAUGGAAAGAAAUAUGAUAUAUAUAUAUAAAGUUCCAAGCUUGAAUCCACCCUCCUAGAACAACCACCUAGGUAUCACUCGAUACAAAUAGAUCACAAUAAACAGUGAUUUAUCCCCGAAACGUCAAUAAAUUUGACCCACUUCUGAAA